ACACGGUGCGUCGUCGCUGAAACCCGCUUCUCGGAACACGACAAAAAAGCCUUCCAUUUAAUUGAUAACAAAAUAACAGACCUCUAACUUGCUGUCAAGUAGCACCUCAGCAGUUUCGAAGGUUUUGAAAUUUCCAAGUUGUGCAAACCAGCAAUGAGAAUUAUCUUCUUGGUGCUCCCAAUGAUGAUCUGCGCCAUGCCUGCAAAAUCUUCGCAAGUUUUUCGGGUUGAAGCUAUAUGAGAAUGCUAAGGUAGUGGAACAAAAGGGCAUGAGGCCUACAUUUGUCUUUUAUGACAAGGAUGAUAAUGAAGUCGCACGUGAGCUUGUGUUUUUAAAAAAGCAAGAAGAAUUACGAGAAAUGUUUAAACACUAUGGCAUAAAACUUAAAGAGGACAAAGUUCUUCAUAAAAUUCGAGAUGAUUUGUGACCAUAACAUAUAUGAAAAAUUGAAAAGGUUAAAUUUUUUAAUUUAGAAAAUUUAUGAUGUUGACGGCGCAAACCAAUAAAUUGGGGGCCGUUAAUUGA